rnacentral:rRNA from 1 species
AUGCAGCAAGCGAUGCCCAUGCCGCCGGCGGCGGCGGCGCCGGGGAUGCCUCCAUCUGCUGGCCUCAGCACCGAGCAGAUCCAAAAGUACCUGGAUGAAAAUAAGCAACUAAUUUUGGCUAUCUUGGAAAAUCAGAACCUGGGAAAGUUGGCGGAAUGUGCUCAGUAUCAAGCUCAGCUUCAGAAGAAUCUUUUGUAUUUGGCUGCAAUUGCUGAUACUCAGCCACAGACCUCUGUAAGCCGUCCUCAGAUGGCACCACCUAGUGCAUCCCCAGGGGUAGGGCAUUACAUGUCACAGGUGCCAAUGUUCCCUCCAAGGACCCCUCUAACGCCUCAGCAGAUGCAGGAGCAGCAACUACAGCAACAACAGGCUCAGAUGCUUCCGUUUGCUGGUCAAAUGGUUGCGAGACCUGGGGCUGUGAAUGGCAUGGCCCGGGCCCCUCAAGUUGAACCAGCCUAUGCAGCAGGUGGGGCCAGUUCCGAGCCUUCUGGCACUGAGAGCCAUAGGAGCACUGGUGCCGAUAACAACGGUGGAAGCGGCUUGGCUGACCAGUCCUAA